rnacentral:lncRNA from 1 species
CCACGAAAUCACUAAUUUAAACUUUAUUAUUUUUACUUUAGAAAUGCUCCUUAGGAUUUUUAAAAGUAAAUAUUGAAUUCCUUAUCGAAACCUCGACGUUUUCUACGCCUUUUCUUCUUCUUCUCCUCUCCCUCUCUCUUUAGAUAACUACCUCUCUCUCUAAAGAUCUUGGAGGAUGGAAGAAUGGAAAUGGAAGUGAUGAGAAAAUGGUGAAGGGAGGGUCACUAUUUACAGAAAAUAGGGACCGUCAGAUUUGUGCAAAGGGGUAAAAUUAGGUGAAGAGAGAAAAGUCAAUGGAAAAGGUGUGAUGUGAUAAUUGAUGGAUGUGAUUAGCAGAUGGACGAUGCGAUGUGACGGCGGUGCAAAAAUUAGAGGCAUGCCAUGUAAACAAUGAUGGCGCGUUGCCCAAAUG